UACGUAGGGCGCAAGCGUGUCCGGAAUUAUUGGGCGUAAAGAGCUCGUAGGCGGCUUGUCACGUCGAUUGUGAAAGCUCGGGGCUUAACCCCGAGUCUGCAGUCGAUACGGGCUAGCUAGAGUGUGGUAGGGGAGAUCGGAAUUCCGUGGUGUAGCGGUGAAAUGCGCAGAUAUCAAGGAAGAACAACCCGUGGCGAAGGCGGCUCUCUGGGACGGUACUGACGCUGAGACGCGAAAGCGUGGGGAGCAAACAGG
rnacentral:rRNA from 1 species